CACAAAGGUUUGGUCCUGACCUUAAAAUCAGUUUUUACUUAAUUUACACAUGCAAGUUUCCGCAUUCCAGUGAGAACGCCCUUACACCCCUCCAAGGGGAGAGGAGCCGGUAUCAGGCACAACCAUUGCCCACGACACCUAGCUUAUGCCACACCCUCAAGGGUAUUCAGCAGUGAUUAACAUUGAAUAUAAGCGCAAGCUUGAUUCAGUCAAAGUAAACAGAGCCGGCAAAUCUGGUGCCAGCCGCCGCGGUUACACCACGAGACUCAAAUUGAUUACAUCCGGCGUAAAACGUGAUUAAAGCUAUUAAAAAAUUAGAGUCGAACUCAAACUAAGCCGUUAAACGCUUGCUAAUAAAGAAGAUCAAACAUCGAAAGUUACUCUAAUUAUUUCAACUUGAAUCCACGAUAGCUAGGGCACAAACUGGGAUUAGAUACCCCACUAUGCCUAGUCAUAAACUUUAACUUACACUUUUUUGCCAGGAGAUUACGAGCAAUGCUUAAAACCCAAAGGACCUGACGGUAUCCCACAUCCACCUAGAGGAGCCUGUCCUAUAAUCGACACCCCCCGCUAAACCUCACCACUUAUAGCUUAUCAGCCUGUAUACUUCCGUCGUCAGCCUACCCCAUGAGUGAUACUCAGUUGGCAGGAUGUCCACCCCUCAAUACGUCAGGUCAAGGUGCAGCAAAUAAAGUGGGAAGAGAUGGGCUACACUUUCUAACUUUAGAAAAAACGAAAGACUAAGUGAAAUCAAGUCAGAAGGCGGAUUUAGCAGUAAGGUAGAACUAGAGAGUCAACCUUAAUAACGGCACUGGGAUAUGUACAUACCGCCCGUCACCCUCUUUAAGGCCUCAAAUUAAGUACUUAACAACUUUUAGCCAUAUAAAAGAGGCAAGUCGUAACAUGGUAAGCGUACCGGAAGGUGUGCUUGGAUU
rnacentral:ncRNA from 1 species